GAAAAUUUCUCAAGGUUGCUAAAGAUCUUAAGCACCCAUUAAUUAACCGCCAACUCUGCUUUUGUCAAAGUAGCUUGCUUGCAUUUUCAGGAUGUGAUUUCUGCCUAUAUAAGUCUCAAGCAAUCUCCACUCGAGCUGCUGCUGCUUACUAAACUCCCUGUGCGGAGUGACAGGCAGCAGCCGCCAGCUAGCUGACUAAUAAAGGCUCUUUUAAAUUCCGUUUGGCUGUCUCGUACCUUAACUCGCGGGCACCGUAACAUUUGGAGGCCCCAGCGAGAAUUUUCUCCUCGGCAUAUUCCGAGGCUUAUCGGUCGAGACAAGGUCCGACUACCGGUCUUCCCCCAGGGGGGCGCGCAUGAGAGACGUUCCUCAGCCCCGGCGGAGAACCGAGUGGUCGGGCCUCGAGAUUCGAAAAUCUGCCUCUGGAGCCAUCUGGACGUGGGCCCACAACGCCCACAUAGGACAACUAUCAACAACUUCUGCAAACCCUUUUCACAUCAGAAGAGGAAGAGAAUCCAUGCCCAGGGAUGGAAACUAGUUGUGGGGCCAGAUGAUCUACCUACCACGGAAGCAGACUGCCUCGAAACCGUUUUUCUUUUCACCCAACCCCGGUGGGACCCUAACAUAAAUUAAGGCACAUAUGUGGAUGUCUAUUGGAGUCAAAGAAGUAAUUGGGCCCAUAUCAUGCAAGUUCCAGAGUCCAGAUGGGCUGGUGUGGUAGCUGUGUCUUGAUCAACUCUGAAGGUGUUUCUCUUGGGAUAUUUGACAACAGCAACAUCAUUAGAAGCAACCAGCUCCUAAAGAGCCAUCUGGCUUAUUUUAUUGUUGUUGUUCUUCUUCUUCGUCAAGAA